rnacentral:rRNA from 1 species
AAAGCAUUAACUAUAAAAGAUACCCCUAAAUGUUUUGUAAAAAGCGGGUCUAAACAAGGAUAGUAUAAAUAAAUUUUAGUACCUUUUGCAUAAGGGUUUUUCAAGACAAAUUUAAGUAUUUAAUUUUCCCGAAUGAAAGAGAGUUAUUUUGUAGAGUUAAAAAUCGUGGUAAAGAUUUAAUUAAAUUAUAAAAUAGCGGCUAGAUACUAUUCGCGCUUUUAGAUAUCUGGUUGGCUUAGAAAUAUGUGUAAGCAUUACCCUUAAAUACUUAAGGAGCAAAUUCUUCGGGUUAAGCUGAAAAAUGUUAAAAUUGACGCCAAGAAAAAAGUUGGUUUUUAUAGGCUUUAGACUAGCCACUAAGCACAAAUUUAUUUUAACUAAAACCAAGUGGUGGAAAAAAUUAAUUGGGGUCGUCAUUUGCUCUAAGAUAAGCCUGUGGUCGUAGAACCAAAAAUUAUGAUAAAAACGAGUAAAGAUAUUCUUUGGCUGGUGUGACUCUACUGUUACACCUUAAAAAACUAACUGUGUUAUAAGACUUUUUAAACGAACUCGGCAAACUAAGCUUCUCGACUGUUUAACAAAAACAUUUCCUUUUGAUAUGAGUAAAAGGUAGUCCCUGCCCUAUGCAACUAAACUAACGUUUGUUGUAAAUGGCGGCGUUAACGUGAGCGUCCUAAGGUAGCGCGAUAAUUUGCUUUUUAAUUGAAGGAUGGUAUGAAAGGGUUAACGAAGAAGAUGCUGUAUCUAAAAAUUUAAUUUAAACUAAUUUUAAGGUGAAGAGGCCUUAAUGUAAAAGAAGGACGACAAGACCCUAUGAAGCUUUAUCUUAAUUGAAGGUCUUAGCCUUUUAUACGUUUUUGAUGGGAGAUCAGCAAAAAUAAGUCUUUUGCUAUAACAUUAAUCUUACUAGAAUUUACUAGUUUUAUAUGUGUGACUAGCUACUCUAGGGAUAACAGCGCAAUUUCCCCCGAAAGAUGGUAUUGGAGGAGAAGAUUGCGACCUCGAUGUUGGCUUUAGGUGCCCUAGAGGCGUAGAAGCCUCUAAGGGUGGGUCUGUUCGCCCUUUAAAAUCUAACAUGAGCUGAGUUCAGAACGGCGUAAGCUAGUUCAGUUUCUAUCCUCUUUUAAAAAUGAGCUAAUUUUGUACGAAAGGACUCUUUCGCUAAAGUAAUGCUUUGGCCCAGCCUUGUAAUUACACAAAUAAUGUUACAUGACGAGCUGAGUAACUCAUAAAAAGGACUG